AUCCCGAUUUUAUUAAUAGGUCAUUUAUUAAUUUAAUUGUGUGUAUUUUAUUAUGGAGGAUAUUAUAAUCAUAAUAGAUAUUAAAUAGUUGAGAGUUGUAGACUAAAUUAGAGUCAAUAUAAUUAAUGAGUAGAAAUUAAGUAAUUAGACUAAAAUGAGCAUUGAGCCUAAGAGGUGUUGGGGGGUGAGUUGAGUAAAGAGGGGGUGUAGGGAGUAACUAGUAAAAACCUAGUAUAAAAGGAAAGAAUUAGUAAGAGAAUUCAAUUUCUCUUGAAACAUAGAACAGGGAAAGAAGGAGGCUUUGGGAGAAAGAAAGAAAAGAGAAAGAAAGAAAGAAAAGAGAAGAAAAGUCUAGGAGAUUAGAAGAAGCUCAAGAGAGGGAUUAGAGAUUUCAACUUAUUAAGGUUCUCAGGUUGUAUGUUUGUUGGUGUUCGCGUUGUUGGUGAAAGCUCUGCUCUGAUUGUGACACGAGGAAGAGUUCAUAGAGUCUUUAUUUGUUGUUGUUUUAUUUAAAUUAAAUGUGUAUAUUGUAUAAAAGGAAUUUUGCACAAGUGAUAUUUACUACUCAAUGUUAUUAGUAGUGUUUUUUUUUUGUAAUGAAGAAUGUAACACCUUGAGCCAAUAUUUCAUAAUUCAUUUCGACUUCGAGUUUUAAAACUUUUUAUCCGUUGCAUAGUUUUUAAACAAACAUUCUUUUAUUAAGAUAAAUUGAAUAUUGGGUUAGGGUGGUUACAAAGUGGUAUCAGAGCCCCGUUGUCUUCGGACUGUGUGGGUUAUGUGUCAGUCAGAGCAGGUCUGUGCAGUCAGACCGAGUGAGCGCGAUGUCAGUCGUGUCUGUGUAACUGUUAUGAUUUCUUGUGAAUUAAUUUUUGUAGUUACACUUGCACAUUAGUCACUAUUUAAUUGUUUUGCGAAUGUGUGAAUAGUUUCAUAAAUUUUGUUGCUAGUUCUUUUGUUAGCGUGUUGUUUUAUUUGAUACUCGAGACUUAUGUUUUAAUUGGUAUUGACCUUAGCAUCUAUAAUUCUUGUUUCAUGAUUGAAUGCUAAAAUGAUGAUUGUCUUAAGUGCUAUUUGUUAAUACUUGAAUAAUAUGUGAUGUUUUAUUCUAGUUGAUUGCGUAUAAGAUUUAUUGUCUUAUUUGCGUUUCUUGUGAUUAAAUUAAAUGUGAAGAUGAUAAUUGUUUCGUUGUUAAUUGAAAUUGUGUAGAAUAUUAGAAUUUACUUUAUGCUACAUGAAUUCAUACAUGAUUUGAAUAUGUUAAAGGGAUGAAUAGUUUAAUUUAACUAUUUAUACUAGAGUUUACGUGAAUUCUUAUGUAUGUCUACAUGUAUGCUUUUAUGUGUAGCUCUUUAUGACAUGAGAUAAUUUUAUAACUAGUAUUAAUUUCUGAUGAUGUGAAUCUUGUUGAAAAUCUAAAUUAUUUUAUUUGAGUAUGUGAAACUAAAUUUUCAUGAAAGUAAGAAGAGUAGAAUAUUAAUAGUAUGGUUAAGUGGAUUCUAGGAUAUGUUUGACAUAUAUGUUUUGUUCUAUAUGAUAUGUGCUAGAUUAUUGCUAGUUGACUUGUGCUUUUGGUUAUUUGUAAGUUAUAGUGAAUAACUAUGCUAUUUUCUAUAAGAUGAAUUUGAUAAAUGUGUUGCACAAGUUGACUAUUUUAUUUUGUCAUGUUAGUUAUCAUGUUAAGAUAGAUAUAUUCUAUGCUUAUGUGAAUAUGAAUUGUUGAAUUUUUAAAAUUCAUUGCUAUGAAAUAUUUAUCUUUUCUUGUAUUGAUUUGAUUCUCAAUUUUGAGAUUUAGAGAAGAUAUAUGUUUCUUGAAUGUCUAUGUGAAAUGCUAUGUUUUGCUUUUGUGCAAUUUUAUAUAGAUGUUCAUGUUUUGUAUUUCGUAGUUUACCCAUUGUAUGCGACAUGUGUGUAAACAUUGUCGAUACUAGUUUCUUUCGUGGGAGCUAGUUAGAGAACCGUAGAAGUCUCCAGUUAGGUAUGAGAGUUGAGAAUUACAAUAGGAGUUAUAAGUGGGUUUGAGAUAAGUGGGGGAGAAGGUUAAAUUCCUUUGAGAUGUUUAAGUGUAGAAGAAUAAGAUAGAUAGAGAUGUCCGAAGGAGAGCGUUCAUGUGUUGGUGUUGUCCAUUUCGGAGUUAGAUGAUUUGUAAGAACAGUUAGAAGACCGUUGGAGAAGAAGUUUGUCGGAUCGAUUGUUUUGCCAUGAAGAGCGUCAUUGUUGUUAAGUAAGAAGAGAGGAUGAAGUAUGAGAAAAUCGGUGGAGAUUAGUAAGAUCAAAUUCAUUAUGUUUGGAAUAAUGAAGAAAUGUGUAGAGUAAAGUGUAGUAUGUGAUGAGAAAAUAAAGGAUUUCGGAUAUUGUAAUCGUGAGUAGUUGAACAAUAUUUAAGUAAUACAACUUAAGAGAUGUUUGGAUAUUAGUAUCUCGACAAAAGAAGUGAUAUUGGAAACUGUGAUGAGAGAUGAACGUGAAGUAAUGAUUUGGAAACAAGGUAAUGGUGUUGUAGUUCGACUUAAGAAAUUGAGUUUGGUGUGAAAGGAAUAAUCGUAUUGUUAACGACGUAGUUUCGAUGUUUAUUAGUGGGAUUUAGAACUAGAUGUUGUGCUGAAAAACUUAAGACUGUGGUUUGGAUAAGAAUUGAACAUAUUCAGAUUAAAAGGAACUAAGAGACUAAAAGGAACUAAGAGACUAAAAGGAAAAAGAAGGAACUUGUGGAAACUUGUAAAGUUGUGAAAGUUAUCAACAUAGAUGAGAUAUUUUCGGAGUGAAAUGGAUUGAGUGGUACUUGUUGUGGAAUGUUACCUUUCGGAUGUUUUGUGCUUAUGAAAGCACUAUUGUAGUUUGGUAAAGAUGGUUUAUGCCAUCAUCAUUAUUAUUGGCUAUUUAUUGACAAAUUGAGGAAUUGGCCGUCCUUGAUCUCUUAUUAAUAAGUAGACGAAAAUUGUGUUGAUUGGAUAAGACUAAUUUUGUCAAACUUUAGUAGUGUAUAGAGUUUUGGAUAUUUUAUUGGAGAAUUGAAUGAAGGUGGUCUUAUGCGGUUUGUUUUAGUCGGACAAUUUUCGAGGGCGAAAAUUCUUUAAGUGGGGGAGAGUUGUAACAUCCCGAUUUUAUUAAUAGGUCAUUUAUUAAUUUAAUUGUGUGUAUUUUAUUAUGGAGGAUAUUAUAAUCAUAAUAGAUAUUAAAUAGUUGAGAGUUGUAGACUAAAUUAGAGUCAAUAUAAUUAAUGAGUAGAAAUUAAGUAAUUAGACUAAAAUGAGCAUUGAGCCUAAGAGGUGUUGGGGGGUGAGUUGAGUAAAGAGGGGGUGUAGGGAGUAACUAGUAAAAACCUAGUAUAAAAGGAAAGAAUUAGUAAGAGAAUUCAAUUUCUCUUGAAACAUAGAACAGGGAAAGAAGGAGGCUUUGGGAGAAAGAAAGAAAAGAGAAAGAAAGAAAGAAAAGAGAAGAAAAGUCUAGGAGAUUAGAAGAAGCUCAAGAGAGGGAUUAGAGAUUUCAACUUAUUAAGGUUCUCAGGUUGUAUGUUUGUUGGUGUUCGCGUUGUUGGUGAAAGCUCUGCUCUGAUUGUGACACGAGGAAGAGUUCAUAGAGUCUUUAUUUGUUGUUGUUUUAUUUAAAUUAAAUGUGUAUAUUGUUGUAAAAAUUGGACCUAAUCACAAUAAUAAACAACAUAUAAAUUUAUGUAAUUAAA